UAACUCACCCUCUUUUGGGUUUAUCUCACCCUCUUCUAGAUUUAUCUCACCUUCUUCAGGGUUUAUCUCACCCUCUUCUCUGUUUAUGUCACCCUCUUCUCUGUUUAUCUCACCCUCUUCUCUGUUUAUGUCACCCUCUUCUCUGUUUAUCUCACCCUCUUCUCUGUUUAUGUCACCCUCUUCUCUGUUUAUCUCACCCUCUUCUCUGUUUAUGUCACCCUCUUCUCUGUUUAUCUCACCCUCUUCUCUGUUUAUGUCACCCUCUUCCCUGUUUAUCUCACCCUCUUCUAGGUUUAACUAACACUCCUCUGGGUUUAUCUCACCUUCUUCGAGACAUUGGGUUUCCUGGAUUUGGAGUGUGUACAGUAUGUGCUCUGGGCUCUCUGAAGCUCUUCUGGGUUUAUCUCACCCUCUUCUCUGUUUAUCUCACCCUCUUCUGGGUCUAUCUCACCCUCUUCUGGGUUUAUCUCACCCUCUUCUCUGUUUAUCUCACCCUCUUCUGGGUCUAUCUCACCCUCUUCUGGGUUUAUCUCACCCUCUUCUCUGUUUAUCUCACCCUCUUCUCUGUUUAUCUCACCCUCUUCUGGGCUAAAAACAGCACUAAACGUGUGGUUUUAACACAGCACAACUAAACAGCCUUCAAGUUGUCAUUACCGGAAACGUUUAGUUGCGGUUAUUGCUGCACAAGAGGGACACCAUCUCUGAAAGCAAAGUUUCAGAGCAGAAUUCAUGUUUCCUUCAAUUACUGCAAGUUGCCCAGACCCUGAAGCAGUAAAGCAUCCCCACACCAUCACACUUCCUCCACCAUGCUUGACCGUAGGUAUGAUGUUCUUUUUGUGGAAUUCAGUGUUUGGUUUACUCCAGAUGUAACGGGACCCCUGUCUUCCAAACAGUGCCACUUUCAACUCAUCAGUCUAUAGAACAUUCUCCCAAAAGGUUUGAGGAGCAUCAAGGUGUGUUUUGGUAAAAUUCAGAUGAGUCUUAAUGUUCUCCUGGGUUAGCAGUGGUUUUCACCUCGCCACUCUUCCAUGGAUGCCAUUUUUGCCCAGUG